rnacentral:rRNA from 1 species
CGCCCUUAGAGUUUGAUUCCUGGCUCAGAACGAACGCUGGCGGCGUGGAUAAGACAUGCAAGUCGAACGGGACAGUCUUGUAGCAAUAUGAGACUGUUCAGUGGCGAACGGGUGCGUAACACGUGGAUACAUUCCGGGAAGUGAGAAAUAGCCCAGGGAAACUUGGAUUAAUAUCUCAUGUGGUCGCAAGACUAAAGGCGCAAGCCGCUUCCUGAUUGGUCCGCGGCCUAUCAGCUAGUUGGUGAGGUAAUGGCUCACCAAGGCAACGACGGGUAGCUGGUCUGAGAGGACGACCAGCCACACUGGAACUGAGACACGGUCCAGACACCUACGGGUGGCAGCAGUCGAGAAUCUUUCACAAUGGGGGAAACCCUGAUGGAGUGACGCCGCGUGGAGGUUAAGGUCUUCGGAUUGUAAACUCCUGUCAUGCGAGAACAAAGCCCGCAAGGGUGUGAUAGUACCGCAAGAGGAAGAGACGGCUAACUCUGUGCCAGCAGCCGCGGUAAUACAGAGGUCUCAAGCGUUGUUCGGAAUUACUGGGCGUAAAGGGUGCGCAGGCCGCGCGGGCAGUCAAAUGUGUAAUCCAGGGGCUCAACCCCUGAACUGCGCUUGAUACUUCCGCGCUCGAGCUUUGGAGAGGAGUCUGGAAUUCUCGGGUGUAGCAGUGAAAUGCGUGGAUAUCGAGAAGAACACUUAGGGCGAAGGCAAGACUCUGGACAAAUGCUGACGCUCAUGCA